AUGACAUUCCUUACUCCAACCCUUACAUCCCCCUGCCCCAACCCCAGUGUCCCUCCCACUUCCAUUCCCACGUCCCCACGCACUGUGGCACGGAAACAUCCACCCAAAACACCGAGAAAAACCCCUACAAAAAUGCACAGAGAUCCACGAGAUCUCCACGGGAUGCGGGUGGCACAAAGCCACCCACGCGUCACCACCCGGGACAGGCACCCAGGCAGUACAACGCGAGCGGGCACUGAGCUGUCACCGCGGGGACCCGAGGGACGGCGGUGUCACACGAGCAGAGCGGUGUCACAGCGGGCACCGGGUGCUGCUGCUGCAGUGACAGUGAGCUCCUGCGGCUCCGGGAGCACCUGGAAGCCAUGCACGCGCGUGUGCACACCCACGCACACCCGUGCAUGCACACCUAUGUGCACAAACAUGAGCACCCAUGCGCACUCACAAGCAGGCACCCCCACACCCACUCAUGCACACACUCACAUCCAUGCACACCCAUGCAUGCACACAUGCAUGCACACCCACGCACACCUACACACACACACCCAUGCACACACCCAUGCAUGCACACCCACAGUCAUGCACACCCUUGCAUACGCACAUACACACAGCCACGCAUGCACACUCACUCAUACCCGUGCACACACACAUGCAUGCACACCCAUGCACACUCGUGCACAUCCAUGCACACCCACACACACCCGUGCACACGCACAUGCACAUGCCCAUGCAUACACAAACUUGCAUGCUUGCACACACCUAUGCACACAAUCAUGCACAAACACGCACAUCCAUGCACACCCGUGCAUACACACACAUAUGUACACCUGCAUGCACACUCAUGCACACCUAUGCACACACAAUCCCAUGCACACCCAUGGAAACACCCAUGCAAACACACCCACCAUCAUGCACACCCUUGCAUACAUACCCUUGCACCCAUGCACAGCCAUGCAUACACGUGCACACCCAUGCACACCCACACACACCUAUGCACACAGCCAUGCACGCACACCCACCCACAGCCAUGCACACCCAUGCAUACACACGUGCACACCCACACAUCCACACCCAUGCACACACACAUUCAUGCAUGCACCCAUGCACUCCCACAUGCACACCCACCCCCAUGCACACAGCCACGCAUGCACACACACCCAGAGCCAUGCACACCCAUGCACAUCCAUGCACGCCCACACACACACACGCUGCAAACCCCUCCCGCAGCCACGGCUGCUCUGGCUGCCAGGUGAACCCACGCGGGGAUGGCAGUGGAGGCUCAGCUGGACGGGGCACGGGUGGGCUCCUCCAAGCCACCAGGUGACCACACACGAGGCCGCAGGGGUCUGGGAAAGCAAUGCUCCACCCUGA
rnacentral:lncRNA from 1 species